rnacentral:misc_RNA from 1 species
CCUUUGCCAUACUCUGUUGAACAUUUUGUAUCUUUGAUAAGACGAUCAGCGUUGGCAUAUAAUCCUUUCUUAGCCAGAACAAAGCUUUUCAAGUGCCAAGUUUUCAUCACCACCAAAAGCAUCCAGCGUACUCCUGACCAAUGCUUCAGGGAAGCCCAUCUCAACAAGUUUCUGCACCUUUUCCUCUACCCCAAGAGAUGAGGUCUUGGCAAAAGUUUCUGUCCAGUAGCGGGCUGUGCCAGAAAAAGUCUGAUAGUCUUUAAGGUACUGUUGUGCUACUACAGCAUCUUGAGGGUCAUCAGGUUGAGGAGCAGAGAGUAAUGCUUGGACAGAAAGUAGUGCCGUCUUUAGAGUGAGUGCUGGGCUCCAUUGAUCUUUCAAGAUGUCCAGGCAAAUUGCCCCACUCUGGCUGCUAAUAUUGGGGUGCCAGACUUUUGUUGCGAACUGCAUUUUGGGAGGCUCGAAAGGAUAUCCAUC